CUAAGAUACCAGCUUCUUAUCUCGAUUCCAAUGGAUCAGGGUUUUUAGCAUGACAUUGGAGUGCUACCUGGUGCUACCUAGUGCAGAGUUUGGGGGGCGGCACUCCUUUUAGAUAGGGGCUGCCACUAAGGCUUCACGCCUGGGGUUGUCUGAGGAAGUUAUCCAAAGGAUCGGGAGAAGGGAAUCUAGGAGGUUCCGUUCUUAUGUUUGUCCAUCUGGACUGAUUCCAUUUCCCCUUUUAUCUUCGUAGGUGCUGGAAGGCGAG